CCUACGGGUGGCAGCAGUGGGGAAUAUUGGGCAAUGGAGGAAACUCUGACCCAGCAACGCCGCGUGAGUGAUGAAGUUCUUCGGAUUGUAAAGUUCUUUUCUCAGGGAAGAAGAACUUGACGGUCCCUUAUUACUAAGCCUCGGCUAACUACUUGCCCCCAGCAGCGGUAAUACGUAGGAGCCGAGCGUUAUCCGGAAUGACUGGGCGUAAAGGGUGCGUAGGUGGUUUGGCAAGUUAGUAGCGUAACUCCAAGGCUCAACCUUGGAACUACUACUAAAACUGUUGGACUGGAGUGCAGGAGGGGUAAGCGGAAUGCCUAGUGUAGCGGUGGAAUGCGUAGAUAUUAGGAGGAACACCAGUGGCGAAGGCGGGUUGCUAGACUGUAACUGACACUGAGGCACGAAAGCGUGGGGAGCAAACAGGAUUAGAUACCCCUGUAGUC
rnacentral:rRNA from 1 species